GGGGACUUAGCACAGUGGUAGCGCGCAUGCUUUGCACGUCGCUUACGAGUGAAUGUCUGCAUGAGGUCGUGGGUUCAAGCCCCACAGUCUCCA